GAUGAACGCUGGCGGCGUGCCUAAUACAUGCAAGUCGAGCGAACGGACGAGAAGCUUGCUUCUCUGAUGUUAGCGGCGGACGGGUGAGUAACACGUGGAUAACCUACCUAUAAGACUGGGAUAACUUCGGGAAACCGGAGCUAAUACCGGAUGAUAUUUUGAACCGCAUGGUUCAAAAGUGAAAGACGGUCUUGCUGUCACUUAUAGAUGGAUCCGCGCUGCAUUAGCUAGUUGGUAAGGUAACGGCUUACCAAGGCAACGAUGCAUAGCCGACCUGAGAGGGGGGUCGGCCACACUGGAACUGAGGCACGGUCCAGACUCCUCCGGGAGGCAGCAGUAGGGAAUCUUCCGCAAUGGGCGAAAGCCUGACGGAGCAACGCCGCGUGAGUGAUGAAGGUCUUCGGAUCGUAAAACUCUGUUAUUAGGGAAGAACAUAUGUGUAAGUAACUGUGCACAUCUUGACGGUACCUAAUCAGAAAGCCACGGCUAACUACGUG
rnacentral:rRNA from 1 species